GUAGGUGAACCUGCGGAAGGAUCAUUACAGUAUGAUUAUGGGGGGGUUGGAUGCUGGCCCGUGAGGGCAUGUUGCGCACUCCCCUGUUGUUAAUCCUACAUAUACACCUGUGCACCUAUGGCGAGCGCCUCCCAUUUGGAGCCGUUUGAUGUCAAACCUCCCUUUCUUUGGGGGGUGAGGCUCGGACCGGGGUGCUCCCUCCUUUUCAUUACCAUCUCAGCCUGUUUGAACGCAUGUUUUAAGCUCUACGGAGCUGAAAAGUAAUAUAACUUUCAACAACGGAUCUCUUGGCUUUC
rnacentral:misc_RNA from 1 species